CCUACGGGGGGCUGCAGUGGGGAAUAUUGGACAAUGGGCGAAAGCCUGAUCCAGCAAUGCCGCGUGAGUGAUGAAGGCCUUAGGGUUGUAAAGCUCUUUUACCCGGGAAGAUAAUGACUGUACCGGGAGAAUAAGCCCCGGCUAACUCCGUGCCAGCAGCCGCGGUAAUACGGAGGGAGCUAGCGUUGUUCGGAAUUACUGGGCGUAAAGCGCGCGUAGGCGGCCUAGCAAGUCAGGGGUGAAAUCCCGGGGCUCAACCCCGGAACUGCCUUUGAAACUGCUAAGCUAGAAUCCUGGAGAGGCGAGUGGAAUUCCGAGUGUAGAGGUGAAAUUCGUAGAUAUUCGGAAGAACACCAGUGGCGAAGGCGACUCGCUGGACAGGUAUUGACGCUGAGGUGCGAAAGCGUGGGGAGCAAACAGGAUUAGAUACCCGUGUAGUC
rnacentral:rRNA from 1 species